AUGCCAUUAGGAUAUAAGAAGUGUUGUGUAAUGCCACACAGAGCAUGUUCAAAAAAUAUCGCCCGUUGCAACGCAGGGGCAUUUGUACUAGUACUAUUUAUGUAUGCACACGUCCGGAACACGAUGGCGUUGGAUACGGUACGGACUGCAGGAGGUACCUCGACUCGAACCCCGACUCGGAGUCAAAACCGAUCUCUAGUCCAACUAAAAAAAGAACUGAUCAUUAUUUUUGAGCAUUGUGCGCGUGAAUUGAAUCGCAUGGCUCAUGAGCUGGCUAGAGGGGCUAGGAUUGAUCCUCCAGUUGUGUGGAUAGACAAUUCUCCUACUUUUAUCUGUAGCCUUAUUUUGAAUGCUUUGUCAUUAUUUGAGAAGAAAUAA
rnacentral:rRNA from 1 species